UGCGUGUGCACGCCGCGGAGAUCUGACCAGGGGCCGGUAGUAUAAUCGAAAUUUUACUAAUAAUAUUUAGUAGAGUACACUGAAAUCAAAUUUCCAUUAUAUUGUAUGUGCAUUGAACAUAUAGAAAUAGAUAAAAUUUAUGUGCAACUACCUAUAGUUAAAUAAUAUCCAAUCCCGCACAUAUAAUUCAACAGUUCACAAUGAAAUUGAAAAGAUAUCAGAUUCAAGAAAAUGGCGGAGAAGAUAGAAUCAGUUCAACGCCAGUCUCAUUAAAUGUGAAAUUGUAUCAGAAGUUAUUGUUUCCAGCAUGCAUUGUUUCGGUUGCAAAGCACGAAUGAAAAUCGCAGAGCAAACAGCAAAGUCACCAGAGCAGAAACAAGUAUAGGAGCUGGAGGCACAAAUAUGAUUCCCACACGGAAGUUUUGCGAACGGAAUCUGUUUUGGGAUUUCCCUGGAUGGCACUUGCAUUUGGAGUGAACCAUUUCUGUAGCACCCGGAUUGGCACCUGUUCACCAUCAAAGCAAAUCGUCGCCACCAAACGAUUCACCGACUCACCGAUGUCCGCCGCUCGUUUUCUGCGUUUCACUAAGCCGAAUGAGAAAGAAAAGGUUGAGCGAUCAGAUUGGCGGCUGCUCUGUAAUACUUAGCCGAAUUGGAACUGUAUUUCGACGUACACAGCUUAUUACACAGCAGACGCGAUCUGUGUUGCUUAGGGUCUGUCUCAUUUGGAGAAUUAAACUGAAAUUAAACUCAAAAGUGACAUUUCAAUAAUUAUCGAAUAACCCUGCUGGCAGAGCAAGAUUACUUUUGACAGAUAUCGAAUCAUUUUGCAUCGAUGUCUUAUUGGAAUUGCUGGGCAGCACCAGCCAUUCUUAUACCGGGUUAUUUGCUAAUUUUCGAACUGUCACUUUUAAGUUUAAUUCUCCAAAUGAGACAGACCCUUAGAACUCUUCUUCCGAUCUGGUUGAGUGAAACGCUAAAAACAGUGGACACAGUAACCGAAUCAUAGUUUUUUCGUAAGAAUACUUGAACUUCCGGCUGAAUGAUACUCAAGCGACAGGCGUAAAUCAAUAAACCGAUCCGAACGCCAUUCGAAUGUGCAGAAUUUUUUCUCUGAACAUAUUUUUAAAGGUUAUGAAUAAAUUAAAUAAAUGCAUGAAAAUCAAAAAUGAA